rnacentral:tRNA from 1 species
GGUGCCGUAGCCAAGCGGUAAGGUCAGAAGCUGCAACCUUCUUAUGCGUCAGUUCGAAUCUGACCGGCACCUCCA